GAGCCGUCCUUGAAAUACCACCCUUGUAUGUUUGAUGUUCUAACUCAGACCCGUUAUCCGGGUCGAGGACAGUGCCUGGUGGGUAGUUUGACUGGGGCGGUCUCCUCCCAAAGAGUAACGGAGGAGCACGAAGGUGGGCUAAACACGGUUGGACAUCGUGUGGUUAGUGCAAUGGCAUAAGCCCGCUUGACUGCGAGAAUGACAAUUCGAGCAGGUGCGAAAGCAGGUCAUAGUGAUCCGGUGGUUCUGAAUGGAAGGGCCAUCGCUCAACGGAUAAAAGGUACUCCGGGGAUAACAGGCUGAUACCGCCCAAGAGUUCAUAUCGACGGCGGUGUUUGGCACCUCGAUGUCGGCUCAUCACAUCCUGGGGCUGAAGUCGGUCCCAAGGGUAUGGCUGUUCGCCAUUUAAAGUGGUACGCGAGCUGGGUUUAGAACGUCGUGAGACAGUUCGGUCCCUAUCUGCCGUGGGCGUUGGAAAAUUGAAAGGGGCUGCUCCUAGUACGAGAGGACCGGAGUGGACGAACCUCUGGUGUUCGGGUUGUCAUGCCAAUGGCAUUGCCCGGUAGCUACGUUCGGAAUCGAUAAGCGCUGAAAGCAUCUAAGCGCGAAGCGAGCCUUGAGAUGAGUUUUCCCUGGCACUAUAAGUGUCCUAAAGGGUUGUCGUAGACUACGACGUUGAUAGGCAGGGUGUGUAAGUGCUGCGAGGCAUUGAGCUAACCUGUACUAAUUGCCCGUGAGGCUUAACCAUACAACACCCAAGGGGUUU
rnacentral:rRNA from 1 species